AAUUUAAGGACCUACAAAGUUCUGAAAAAAUAACGAGGAAAAGGAAAAAGAAAAAAAAACUCAGAGCAGUAAUAGAACCACUGAAUUUGAAGAGCUAGUAAAACUAGGCAAGCGAUCUACAUAUAGGCCAGUAUGCAAAUUUGAUCAACCCAAAAAAACAUAUAUGCUUGCCUACAAGGGUUCAACAGUUCAACAACCAUUUUCAACACCCAUUGCCAUAACAUCAAGACGAGUUCGAAAGAAAAGGGAAAG
rnacentral:misc_RNA from 1 species